rnacentral:rRNA from 1 species
GAGGGCAAGUCUGGUGCCAGCAGCCGCGGUAAUUCCAGCUCCAAUAGCGUAUAUUAAAGUUGUUGCAGUUAAAAAGCUCGUAGUUGAAUUUCGGGAUCAAUAUGUCGGUCGUGCCUCGGUACGUACUGGCUUAUUGGUUUCUCCUUUCUGAAGAACCAUGAUGUCAUUUAUUUGGUGUCGUGGGGAAUCAGGACUGUUACUUUGAAAAAAUUAGAGUGUUUAAAGCAGGCUCACGCUUGAAUACAUUAGCAUGGAAUAAUGAAAUAGGACGUUUGAUUCUAUUUUGUUGGUUUCUAGGAUCGACGUAAUGAUUAAUAGGGAUAGUUGGGGGCAUUAGUAUUCAAUUGUCAGAGGUGAAAUUCUUGGAUUUAUUGAAGACUAACUACUGCGAAAGCAUUUGCCAAGGAUGUUUUCAUUAAUCAAGAACGAAAGUUAGGGGAUCGAAGACGAUCAGAUACCGUCGUAGUCUUAACCAUAAACUAUGCCGACUAGGGAUCGGAUGAUGUUAAUUUUNUAAUGACUCAUUCGGCGCCUUACGGGAA